GUCCAGAGGAUGCUGCCUCAUGCUGUCAGAUGCCCUCCUGAGAUCAAGAUAAACCUCAGCCACUGCUCUACCAUCAGCUGCCCACCUGGUGAUGUCCUCAGCAAAGGCUUGCAGGAGGAGAAGCAGUGGGAAGAGAGCCUCAAAGCUUGAGCUGUGCUGGAGAACCACUUCUACUACAGCUGUUAUGCCCAAGAAGUGCCUGCAGGUGAGCCACACUCACUGCCAAGCUCUGCAGGGACACAGGCAGGAGACACAAGCAGAAAAGGUGUAGAAGGUAGGAAAUGAUUCCAGAGUUUGCUAUCAAAAUAGGUUAAGAGAAGAACCCCUAAACAGUUAAAUAAGUGAUGAAAUAAAAACCACACAACAUAAAAAAGAAUUAACCUCAGGAAAAAAUGAACCCCAAACUAAAGAAUGAAAAUAAACUCAAAUCAAUGGGAAAAACCCUAAGGAAAAAACCCAAACCAGCCAAAUACACUGAAAAAAUGAAAAUGAACCUC